rnacentral:lncRNA from 1 species
GUGCCUUCAAAUAAAUUCAAAGUUAAUUAAAUUUAACUUUUUCAUCCACAUACCCCCCCCCCCCAAAAUUAGCUCGCAUUCCACCAGGGGCUUGCAUGCAGACAGGGAGGAAACUCGUGAAAUGAAAAACCCCCGGAACCAGACAGAGCGGAGUUUGAGUCCCUCUUCUGUCACCUGCCAGCUGACUUCAGGUGAAUCCUUCACUUGGCUGCUGUCCUGUCCCGUGUCUGUAAAGUCGGGAUCUCAACGCCAAUAUCACAGGAUGGAGGAGGAUGAGGUGUAUUGAAUGCUGCAUCCGUGUUUAUUGUUUCUCCAGCACCUUCUUGUAUCGGUCAGGACAGGAUAGGCCCUCCCCAAGGCUGCCUGCACGCUGCUGUCCUGCCAUUUCCAAGUCCUGGGUCAGCCACACAGUCAAGAGAGAGACAGCAUGUGUCUCUCCGAACAGCCUCAGACGAGGAGCACACGGCCGACUCUGCCUAGCAGCCCAGGGGGAGGAGGCUCUGCAGGAAACUCAAAGGUCAUCUAGACCAGGAAAUCCAGCGUGGCCACCCCUUGUGCUCACCUGGAGAGGGUGUUAAAAAUACAGAGGCCACCGCGUUGGAUGCGUCCUUGGGGCCAGAGGCUGCACACUGACAGUGAGGAGGGCAGCAGGGGAUCAAGCAGCAGUGAGCCCCACAGAGCCAGCCUCCGAACUGAGCCUCUGGAGAGCUGAGAAGAGCAGAUGAAGAUGUGUCAACAGUGGUCAGCUCACCCGUUUCAUCCUUCAGCUUCAAAACUCUGGAGCCACACAGACCAGGUCUGCAGAUUUUCAGGAUUCUUGCUGCUGCUGCCGCUUAAAAGCUUAGGAGAGAAAAAUAAAAUUCCG